rnacentral:rRNA from 1 species
AUUGAACGCUGGCGGCAGGCCUAACACAUGCAAGUCGAGCGGCAGCGGGAAAGUAGCUUGCUACUUUUGCCGGCGAGCGGCGGACGGGUGAGUAAUGCCUGGGAAAUUGCCCAGUCGAGGGGGAUGACAGUUGGAAACGACUGCUAAUACCGCAUACGCCCUACGGGGGAAAGCAGGGGACCUUCGGGCCUUGCGCGAUUGGAUAUGCCCAGGUGGGAUUAGCUAGUUGGUGAGGUAAUGGCUCACCAAGGCGACGAUCCCUAGCUGGUCUGAGAGGAUGAUCGGCCACACUGGAACUGAGACACGGUCCAGACUCCUACGGGAGGCAGCAGUGGGGAAUAUUGCACAAUGGGGGAAACCCUGAUGCAGCCAUGCCGCGUGUGUGAAGAAGGCCUUCGGGUUGUAAAGCACUUUCAGCGAGGAGGAAAGGUUGAUGCCUAAUACGUAUCAACUGUGACGUUACUCGCAGAAGAAGCACCGGCUAACUCCGUGCCAGCCGCCGCAGUAACAC